GAUGAAGAACGUAGCGAAGUGCGAUAAGUAAUGUGAAUUGCAGAAUUCAGUGAAUCAUCGAAUCUUUGAACGCACAUUGCGCCCGCCAGUAUUCUGGCGGGCAUGCCUGUUCGAGCGUCAUUUCAACCAUCAAGCCCUGCUUGCGUUGGGGUCCUGCGGCUGCCCGCAGGCCCUGAAAACCAGUGGCGGGCUCGCUAGUCACACCGAGCGCAGUAAUACAUCUCGCUUUGGGCGUGCGGCGGGUUCUUGCCGUUAAACACCCCCUUUUUACCAAGGUUGACCUCGGAUCAGGUAGGAAUACCCGCUGAACUUAAGCAUAUCAAUAAGCGGAGGA
rnacentral:misc_RNA from 1 species